AUACGGAGGAUCCGAGCGUUAUCCGGAUUUAUUGGGUGUAAAGGGCGAGUAGGCGGGUAAACAAGUCAGAUGUGAAAUACCGAGGCUCAACUUCGGGGCUGCAUUUGAAACUGUUUAUCUUGAGUGAUGGAGAGGCAGGCGGAAUUCCCAGUGUAGCGGUAAAAUGCAUAGAGAUUGGGAGGAACACCAGUGGCGAAGGCGGCCUGCUGGACAUCAACUGACGCUGAGGAGCGAAAGUGUGGGGAGCAAACAGGAUUAGAUACCCUGGUAGUCCACACCGUAAACGAUGGAUACUAGGUGUGCGGGGACUGACCCCCUGCGUGCCGGAGUUAACACAUUAAGUAUCCCACCUGGGGAGUACGAUCGCAAGAUUGAAACUCAAAGGAAUUGACGGGG
rnacentral:rRNA from 1 species